CAAAUUUGAAAUCUGGCACCUUCGGUGUCCGAGUUGUAAUUUGAAGAAGGUAACUUUGGAGUUGGCUCUUGUCUAUGUUCCUUGGAACAGGACGUCACAGAGGGUGAGAAUCCCGUGCGAUGAGAUGUCCAACUCUAUGUAAAGUGCUUUCGAAGAGUCGAGUUGUUUGGGAAUGCAGCUCUAAGUGGGUGGUAAAUUCCAUCUAAAGCUAAAUAUUGGCGAGAGACCGAUAGCGAACAAGUACAGUGAUGGAAAGAUGAAAAGAACUUUGAAAAGAGAGUGAAAAAGUACGUGAAAUUGUUGAAAGGGAAGGGUUUGAGAUCAGACUUGGUAUUUUGUAUGUCUUGCUUUCGGGUGGGGCCUCUGCAGUUUACUGGGCCAGCAUCGGUUUGGACGGUAGGAUAAUGACAUUGGAAUGUGGCACUACUUCGGUGGUGUGUUAUAGACUUUGUUGAUACUGCCUGUCUAGACCGAGGACUGCGUCUUUGACUAGGAUGCUGGCAUAAUGAUCCUAAACC
rnacentral:rRNA from 1 species